GAUUCCUACGGGGGGCAGCAGUGAGGAAUAUUGGUCAAUGGCCGCAGGGCUGAACCAGCCAAGUCGCGUGAGGGAUGACGGUCCUAUGGAUUGUAAACCUCUUUUGUCAGGGAGCAAAGGGCGCCACGUGUAGCGCUUUGCGAGUACCUGAAGAAAAAGCAUCGGCUAACUCCGUGCCAGCAGCCGCGGUAAUACGGAGGAUGCGAGCGUUAUCCGGAUUUAUUGGGUUUAAAGGGUGCGCAGGCGGAAUGUCAAGUCAGCGGUAAAAUGUCGGGGCUCAACCCCGGCCGGCCGUUGAAACUGGU
rnacentral:rRNA from 1 species